GCUCAGUGUAUUAAAGACCAUGGACUCUGGAUCCAGCUUCUUGGGUCAAAUCCUUACUCUACUAUUUCCUAGCUGUGUGACCUUGAGAAAGUUCCCUGACUUCCCUGUGCCUCAGUUAAUUCAUCUGUAAAAUGUGGGUAAUAGUACCUACCCCAUAGGGUUGUUUUAAGGAUUAAAU
ensembl:snoRNA